CCUACAGUGUAUGGAAACUUUAUGUAUCGACUGCUCAUUUUUAUAAUGCCAUCCAAAACGGCAGGCAUUACAUUACUCAGCGAUGGCUGAGAUAUUCCAGACCUAAAAUGGAAUGUAACAACUUAUUGAAACCCACUGAGUGUUGGGCUGGAACAUGUCAGCUUAGAUUAAAUUAAAAUUACCUGUCGGCUAAUUCCCGCUGGAAAGAGCCGGUUGCCAGAAUCCCGAGAGUUGUCAGCACCUGCAUAUGCGCGGGUAUGGCAUGGUUCCGGCGGGUUGAUCGCUCCAACACUGGGCCCAACUCAGCACAUAGAUUUAAGAGCACUGCUCUAGGAAAUCUAAAUCGGCAUAUCAGCCAGUCAUCAUCGUUGGCCAGGAAAUCUUGAUGGUCUCUAAAAACUCUCUCCAUCCUGAUCCUGCCGUUUGCGUAAUCUUCAAGGAGUGCCAGCGCAUCCAUUGUGAAGUUCUGCAUUACGCACGGUCGUAAUUCACCUAUUUAUGUUUACUCAGUAAUUACACUCAUUACUACACACCUUGUCACAAUUAGGCUUCUGUGAACAAAUGAGUGCAUUUGCUUUACGAUCAAAACAAGUAAGACCAUACUGCACUGACAACAUUAAAUUCCUAUGGGGUGCCUAUAAGUCGGCUACAGGUAUGAUUUCAGGAACGCAUCUAUAUUUCAGGCUUCUGUGUUUAUGAUUCUAUGGCACUAGUGUCGGAUAUGAUGGCAUGAUGGCAUGAUGGCAUGCAUGAAUGAAGGUGAAGUUCAUCACCUCACCAGCAGCACCGCCAGUUUCCCGUCUCCAAAAUGUUCGUAAGCAAGUUUCAGAGUUUACGUACCGGUACGCACAUUUUCCCGCCACGUUAGUUUUUAUAAAUCAGAAACUUUCCGUAGAAAGUCACUUACGCCGCUUUUUGUGCGUAAGCAAGCUUUAUAAAUGAGCACCCUGAUCUGUGUUCCAUGAUUAACAUUUAA